AAAUCAAAAUUUUAAGUCAAAGUUUUGUCUUUUUAUUAGAAUUAAAAUCAUUCAUGAGAAAAAUGUGCCAAAGGGUUGAAAUUGCCCUUGUAAAUGUACACUAUUUUUGACAUGUUUGGGUGAUAGUAGUUUGAAAAGGUGUUCUGGAAGGAAAAUAUGUUUUGAACAAUACUAGUUGACCUUUAAAUUAUAUUAAACUAGUGUUAUGUAAAUCACAAAAGUUUGAAAAAAAUCUGGUCCAUACACAAUAUUUUGGAUUCUACAAGGUCCUGAAUGGGGCUUAUUUCAAUGUUGAAUCUGUUUACCUGGAAAAACAUAGAACAUUUAAUAAGUCGAGAAUUUGACUAUGCUCAUCACCCAAAACGAGGUUUUUCUAAUUGCUUUUUCACUAGGCUUUGUGGCAAUGCCAGUUAUCACUUAUGCAACCACAAAAAAUUUGUGCAGCACUUUUUUGUACACUGAAGAUCUGGCAACAUUUGAUGUCAUAUUAUUGCCAUCCUCUUUUCAUAGUAUAACUUAACUUAUUUUAGUGAGUUUGUUAAAGAGUUAUGCUUAAAAUAUACCUGUAGUAUCUAAGAUUUUUUCAUAGCAUUAGAUGAUAAAUUUAAGUUCUGUUUUCUUUUAUUUUUAGAUGAUAGUAUCUGUUCACAGUCUCGUUGGUAUUAAAUUUUGCACAAGAUUCAAUUUGUGUCGCAAAAUGUUAUGUAUUCUGUGUGUAAUGUCUAUUUGUCCUGUGUUAAAAAUAUUAUAUAUAUAUAGAAAACAUUAUUUGUAUCAUUAAACGUGAUACAGGACAUAAAAUUGCAUCGUCAUGGGAACACCUAAUGGGUCAUUCCAGAAAACAUCCAUACCACCCCCACAGAGGAAAUAG